GACGAACUGUGCAAACGUUAUUCGGAAUCACUGGGCUUGAAGAGUGCGUAGGCGGUUUUGUAAGUAGGGUGUGAAAGCCCCCGGCCCAACCGGGGAACUGCGCCCUAAACUGCAAGGCUGGAGUGAGGUAGGGGUGUGUGGAACUUCCAGUGGAGCGGUGAAAUGUGUUGAUAUUGGAAGGAACGCCGGUGGCGAAAGCGACACACUGGACCUUGUCUGACGCUGAGGCACGAAAGCCAGGGGAGCAAACGGG
rnacentral:rRNA from 1 species